AUUGAACGCUGGCGGCAGGCCUAACACAUGCAAGUCGAACGAGUGGCGGACGGGUGAGUAAUGUCUGGGACACUGCCUGCUGGAGGCGGCUAACUACUGGAAACGGUAGCUAAUACCGCAUACCAUCGGAUGUGCACAGACGGGAUUAGCUAGUAGGUGGGGUAAAGGCUCACCUAGGCGACGAUCCCUAGCUGGUCUGAGAGGGUGACCAGCCACACUGGAACUGAGACACGGUCCAGACUCCUACGGGAGGCAGCAGUGGGGAAUAUUCCGCAAUGGACGCAAGUCUGAUGCAGCCAUGCCGCGUGUAUGAAGAAGGCCUUCGGGUUGUAAAGUACUGGCAGCAGAGAAGCGUUACCCAAAGAGGAAGCACCGGCUAACUCCGUGCCAGCAGCCGCGGUAAUUC
rnacentral:rRNA from 1 species